UACGUAGGGUGCGAGCGUUAAUCGGAAUUACUGGGCGUAAAGCGUGCGCAGGCGGUUUUGUAAGCCAGAUGUGAAAGCCCCGGGCUUAACCUGGGAAUGGCAUUUGGGACUGCAAGGCUGGAGUGUGGCAGAGGAGACUGGAAUUCCUGGUGUAGCAGUGAAAUGCGUAGAUAUCAGGAGGAAUACCGAUGGCGAAGGCAGGUCUCUGGGCUGACACUGACGCUCAUGCACGAAAGCGUGGGGGAGCAAACAGG
rnacentral:rRNA from 1 species